ensembl:lncRNA
CCCUGAGCGGUCCCUUGGACCUCUGUGAGCAACAGUGGACGUGUACACUGUGGUCACGCCAGCAUCGAAUCCAUCGAAGUUACAUGGUUUAUUAAAGUAAUCAAAUUACAGCAUUUACAUUUAUGUUAGACUACUUUUAAUUAACUGCUUUAGCCCACUUACAAUGAAAAUUUUAAAAAAUCUUGUUCAUGACCUGUGUAGUAUGUUAACACUAUUGGAAGUAAAAAUAACUUGAACUCCAAUUUUGAAAGCACAACUUUCUUUUUUUCUUUUUAUAAAGCUCUGACUUGUAUUAUGAGUAUGAGUCUGUGGUCUGGGAGAGAGUCCUGUAACCCUCUCUCUGCAAAAUACAUGUAACACCCGUCCCACAUUCUAUUGAGAGGGGCCCUGGGUUCCUGUUGUUACUUUCCUACUGAUACUCCCUUUUUAAUGCUUAUGAUAUAAACUAUGCAAUAAAACUACAUUAUAUGGAAAUAAACCACACACAAGCAGGUCAAUUAUAAAGUUAACUCCACUUUACACAGCAAAAACUGGAGUGUUAAAAUUUCAGGGUUAAACAUGUUAGAGUUGAUUUCCACUCUCAAAGUGUCAUUUUAACACAUUCUGAUUCAAAUAGUGUUCAGUGUUGGAGUUAUUAAACAGUGUUAUUCAGGUCCAAGCAAAUGAACUCUGAAGAGAGUUAUUUAUCUUGGUAGGCCCCUGGGCUUCUGCCCAGGUAAACCUGUGGAUCAAUUAAUAGUUUGCUCUGCCGGGCUGAUUUUCCAUGUGCUUCUGCUGGUUACACCGUGGUGGAUACCUGCUGUGUUGCUGUUUGGAGUAUUUUACACAAACGUAAAAUGCUGGUCCAGGUUCGAUACUGCCAACAGCAGAAGUAUGUGAAGUUGGAAGAGGUUGAUGGGCGGUUUGAGUUUAUGCAGUUUCAUGAAAAAGUCAUCGAGAGAUUUUGCCUGCCACCUGAUGCAAAAGCAGUGUACAAAGAUGCAACAGGGACAGAAGUUGAUGAAGUGAUUUUCAGUGACCUUAUCAGCCAAGGCACUGUGGUCCUAACAGUUUUCUCAAGUGAUGAAUUUUCUGAUUGCUCCUUGUCUUCUGCAUCUGAUUGUUCUGACUCAAGCUUCAGCUCAAAUGCAAGUACAUCAACUAUACUUCUACAUGAGGGUCCCAGGAAGAAAACAAGAGUUGAGGGUACUGUUGAUGCAGCAUCUGCUAAAAAGUUAAUUGAAGGUGUACUUGGAACCAAUUCAGGUGGUGAAGAGGUUCUCCAGGAAUAUCACACAACACAAACUCUAACAGAUGCUACCAGAAGAAAAAUGGUCAAUAUAAUAGCGGCUCACAUGAUUGAUUGCCAUGGGCACCUCCCCGCCAAAGCUGUUAGAGAACAGUACGCGCUAGGGAUAGUGACAUUGUUCCCAUCCCUGAAAGACCCAUACUCCAAGAAAGGCUAUGUAUAGUCACUAUUAUUGCACUUUGUUUACAUAAUUUUCAUGCUGUGCAUCAUUGGGAUUUGUGUGCGUUGACAUUUAAGUUCUGAAAAUUUUCAGAUUGACAACACAUUAUUUUUGAAUGUAUUUACAUUUCAGGAACACUUCUAUGAUGCUGCAAGCAGCACUGGAUACAUUUCUUGGCGUUUGAAAACGAUACAGAGAAAGACUAGAAGAGGAUCUGCACCACCAAGUAGCUCCACUGGCUUUGCUCAAGAAGGAGGGGGCCCAAAUUCCCAGAGGCCCAUUAAUAUCGACAUGCAGCUUGAUGGAGAUGCUUGCCAGGAGGCCAUCUCUUUGCUGAACCAUACAUCUGACACUUCCUUGAUUUUCCAAAAGAUGAGAGAGACCUUUCAGCAUCGUCAGAAGCUCAUCAAUGAUCCUGACAAAAGUCUUGAUAUC